GACGAACGCUGGCGGCGUGCCUAAUACAUGCAAGUAGAACGCACAGUUUAUACCGUAGCUUGCUACACCAUAGACUGUGAGUUGCGAACGGGUGAGUAACGCGUAGGUAACCUGCCUGGUAGCGGGGGAUAACUAUUGGAAACGAUAGCUAAUACCGCAUAAUAUUAAUUAUUGCAUGAUAAUUAAUUGAAAGGUGCAAUUGCACCACUACCAGAUGGACCUGCGUUGUAUUAGCUAGUAGGUGAGGUAACGGCUCACCUAGGCGACGAUACAUAGCCGACCUGAGAGGGUGAUCGGCCACACUGGGACUGAGACACGGCCCAGACUCCUACGGGAGGCAGCAGUAGGGAAUCUUCGGAAAUGGACGAAAGUCUGACCGAGCAACGCCGCGUGAGUGAAGAAGGUUUUCGGAUCGUAAAGCUCUGUUGUAAGAGAAGAACGGGUGUGAGAGUGGAAAGUUCAUACUGUGACGGUAUCUUACCAGAAAGGGACGGCUAACUACGUG
rnacentral:rRNA from 1 species